UUUCCGCCGGUGACAUAGUUAAACGGCCGCGCCUACCCUGACCGUGCAAAGGUAGCAUAAUCACUUGUUCUUUAAAUAAGGACUCGUAUCAACGGCUUCACGAGGGUUUUACUGUCUCCCCUCUCUAAUCAGUGAAACUGACUUCCCCGUGAAGAGGCGGGGAUACACCUACAAGACGAGAAGACCCCAUGGAGCUUUAAACCCGCUAACAACCCCCACUAAACAUCCCCAUAUAAAUAAAAAGUAAUGUACAGCGGUUUUAGGUUGGGGUGACCACGGAGCAAAACAAAACCUCCACGAUGAACGGAAUAUUCAUCCUAAUCAACGAACUACCACUCUAAGAAUCAAAAAUUUGACAUAAUCUGAUCCGGUAACCGAUCAACGAACCAAGUUACCCUGGGGAUAACAGCGCAAUCCAUUUCAAGAGCCCCUAUCGACAAAUGGGUUUACGACCUCGAUGUUGGAUCAGGGUAUCCUAGUGGUGCAGCCGCUACUAAAGGUUUGUUUGUUCAACAAUUAAAACCCUACGUGAUCUGAGUUCAAACCGGAAGG
rnacentral:rRNA from 1 species